GUAAGCUACUAAGAGCGAACGGUGGAUGCCUUGGCUAGUAGAGGCGAUGAAAGACGUGCCAGACUGCGAUAAGUCUCGGGGAGCCGUCAAGGGGCUUUGAUCCGGGAAUUUCUGAAUGGGGCAACCCAACUAAUAGAGAUAUUAGUUACCGUAUAACGGAGCGAACGAGGGGAAUUGAAACAUCUUAGUACCCUCAGGAAAAGAAAUCAAAAGAGAUUACGCUAGUAGCGGCGAGCGAACGCGUAAGAGGGCAAACCACUAGUUUACUAGUGGGGUUGUAGGACCGCAACAUAGACUAGGAUCUGAUAAUAGAACAAUCUGGAAAGGUUAGGCAUAGAGGGUGAUACUCCCGUAUAUGAAAUCACAUCCUUACUUAGCGGUAUCCUGAGUAGGACGGGACACGUGAAAUCCUGUCUGAAGCCGGGUCGACCACGAUCCAACCCUAAAUACUACUACUAGACCGAUAGCGUACAAGUACCGUGAGGGAAAGGUGAAAAGAACGGCGGUGAGCCGAGUGAAAUAGAACCUGAAACCGUUUGCUUACAAUCAUUCAGAGCACUAUGCUAUACUCUUUAAAAUUAAUCCAGCUUGGCUUUUUAGCCCUUUUUUAUGAAACUGCGACUGCGGCAGCCGAAUCCGGCUAGCCUUGCCUUGUUUCAUAAAAAAUCAUCUAAAAAUCCUGCGCAUUUGAAAUUCUAAAUUUUAAAUCUGAUAAAAUUUCAUCAUAGAUGACACAAAUAGAAUUUUAUGGUCUAAAUUUAGAGAUCAACGAUUAGCGAUUAGUUUUAAUGAGUAUAGCAGUGUGAUGGACUGCCUUUUGCAUAAUGAGCCUGCGAGUUGUGGUGUCUGGCGAGGUUAAGGAAACCCGGAGCCGUAGCGAAAGCGAGUCUUAAUAGGGCGUUUAGUCAGACGUUGCAGACCCGAAACGAUGUGAUCUAUCCAUGAGCAGGUUGAAGCCGGUGUAAGAGCCGGUGGAGGACCCAACCGACGGCCGUUGAAAAGGCUCCGGAUGACUUGUGGAUAGGGGUGAAAGGCCAAUCAAACAUCGUGAUAGCUGGUUCUCUCCGAAAUAUAUUUAGGUAUAGCGUCAUGUAGUAACACUAGGGGGUAGAGCACUGAAUGGGCUAGGGCAUACACCAAUGUACCAAACCCUAUCAAACUCCGAAUACUUAUAGCGUAACCACGGCAGUCAGGCGGCGAGUGAUAAAAUCCGUCGUCAAGAGGGAAACAACCCGGACUAACAGCUAAGGUCCCCAAAUCUCAUUUAAGUGGAAAACGAUGUGGAGUUACUUAAACAACCAGGAGGUUGGCUUAGAAGCAGCCAUCCUUUAAAGAAAGCGUAAUAGCUCACUGGUCUAGUGAUUCUGCGCGGAAAAUAUAACGGGGCUAAAAUGAGUACCGAAGCUUUAGACUUGCACUUAAUCAUUUAUACUAGCUCGUCUUUUGGCGAUAAAUUAAUGAGUUUGAUUUUUUCUCAAUCGAUAGGCUAAAACAACAUUAAUUUCUCAUCCAAAAUACUUCGCUUUUUAUAUUUAAAUUUUAAAGAUUUCGAACUUUGUUAAUUUUAAAAUUUUUUAGAAUUUUAAAAUCCCAACUUAGAUAUUUAAAAUUUAAUAACCAAGAGGCGAAGAAAGACAAGCACAACUUUAAGAUAUCAAAUAAAUUCUUAAAUAUCUUAAGUUUUAAAUUUAAAUAAAGCAAUAAGAAAAGUAUAAAUCAUUAAGUGCAAGUGGUAGGAGAGCGUUCCAAUCAGCGUCGAAGCCGUACCGGUAAGGAGCGGUGGAGCGGUUGGAAGUGAGCAUGCAGGCAUGAGUAGCGAUAAAAUACGUGAGAAUCGUAUUCGCCGUAAACCCAAGGUUUCCUACGCGAUGCUCGUCAUCGUAGGGUUAGUCGGGUCCUAAGCAAAGUCCGAAAGGGGUAUGCGAUGGAAAAUCGGUUAAUAUUCCGAUACCGAUAUCAGUGUGCGACGGAAGGACGCUUAAAGUUAGUGGAGCUAGCGGAUGGAAGUGCUAGUCUAAGGAAGUAGGUUGAGUUAUAGGCAAAUCCGUAACUCUUUAUCCGAGAUCUGAAAGGCUUCUGACGCUCUUCGGAGUAGAUGAAGAAUCCAUGAUACUAUCGAGCCGAGAAAAGUUUCUAAGUUUAGCUGAUAUCGCCCGUACCGUAAACCGACACAGGUGGGUGGGAUGAGUAUUCUAAGGCGCGUGGAAGAACUCUCUUCAAGGAACUCUGCAAAAUAGCACCGUAUCUUCGGUAUAAGGUGUGCCUAACUUUGUGAAGGAUUUACUCCGUAAGCAUUGAAGGUUACAACAAAGAGUCCCUCCCGACUGUUUACCAAAAACACAGCACUCUGCUAACUCGUAAGAGGAUGUAUAGGGUGUGACGCCUGCCCGGUGCUCGAAGGUUAAUUGAUGACGUUAGCUCUGCGAAGCGUUUGAUCGAAGCCCGAGUAAACGGCGGCCGUAACUAUAACGGUCCUAAGGUAGCGAAAUUCCUUGUCGAUUAAAUAUCGACCUGCAUGAAUGGCGUAACGAGAUGGGAGCUGUCUCGAAGAGGGAUCCAGUGAAAUUGUAGUGGAGGUGAAAAUUCCUCCUACCCGCGGCAAGACGGAAAGACCCCGUGGACCUUUACUACAGCUUGACACUGCUAUUGGGAUAAAAAUGUGCAGGAUAGGCGGGAGGCUUUGAUCCAUAGACGCCAGUUUAUGGUGAGCCAUUGUUGAGAUACCGCUCUUUUUUAUUCUGAUAGCUAACUAGCUUGAGUUAUCCUCAAGUAGGACAAUGUCUGGUGGGUAGUUUGACUGGGGCGGUCGCCUCCCAAAAUGUAACGGAGGCUUACAAAGGUUGGCUCAGAACGGUUGGAAAUCGUUCGUAGAGUAUAAAGGCAUAAGCCAGCUUAACUGCGAGACAUACACGUCAAGCAGAGACGAAAGUCGGUCUUAGUGAUCCGGUGGUUCUGUGUGGAAGGGCCAUCGCUCAAAGGAUAAAAGGUACCCCGGGGAUAACAGGCUGAUCUCCCCCAAGAGCUCACAUCGACGGGGAGGUUUGGCACCUCGAUGUCGGCUCAUCGCAUCCUGGGGCUGGAGCAGGUCCCAAGGGUAUGGCCGUUCGCCAUUUAAAGCGGUACGCGAGCUGGGUUCAGAACGUCGUGAGACAGUUCGGUCCCUAUCUGCCGUGGGCGUAAGAAGAUUGAGGAGAGUUGACCCUAGUACGAGAGGACCGGGUUGAACCGACCACUGGUGUACCGGUUGUUCUGCCAAGAGCACCGCCGGGUAGCUAAGUCGGGAUGCGAUAAGAGCUGAAAGCAUCUAAGCUCGAAGCCGACUCCAAGAUGAAUCUUCUUUUAAGAGCUCUAGUAGACUACUAGUUCGAUAGGCCGGAUGUGUAAUGGAUGAAAGUCCUUUAGCUGACCGGUACUAAUAGCUCGUUUGCUUAUCUUUU
rnacentral:rRNA from 1 species